AUGAACACUCCAGAGAGCUGUUAUGUGAAAAAUGUUGUGAAGCAAUCUGAGCUUCAGAAUCAGAUAGAUGAUAGAAAGGCUCAGCUUGAGAGGAGCAGGAUUCAAAGAGAGGCAGAUUUGAACCACUUUGAAGGAGACACUGAAGUGUCUGAAUUUUGUUCUGAGGAUUCAGUUCAUUCAGAUGGGAGUGCUGAAGUUGUUCAACUAAUGGAAAUAGAGUGUGCCUCUGAAGAGGAUACAUCAUUGCAAACUACUGCUAUUGUGAAACAUGUGAAGAAUCCUGGUCCAACUAGCAGAUGUCACAAUGAGGUAGAGAAAAAAACAUUUUGA
rnacentral:rRNA from 1 species